rnacentral:rRNA from 1 species
AUUGAACGCUGGCGGCAGGCCUAACACAUGCAAGUCGAGCGGAUGAAGGGAGCUUGCUCCUGGAUUCAGCGGCGGACGGGUGAGUAAUGCCUAGGAAUCUGCCUGGUAGUGGGGGAUAACGUCCGUAAACGGGCGCUAAUACCGCAUACGUCCUGAGGGUGAAAGUGGGGGAUCUUCGGACCUCACGCUAUCAGAUGAGCCUAGGUCGGAUUAGCUAGUUGGUGGGGUAAAGGCCUACCAAGGCGACGAUCCGUAACUGGUCUGAGAGGAUGAUCAGUCACACUGGAACUGAGACACGGUCCAGACUCCUACGGGAGGCAGCAGUGGGGAAUAUUGGACAAUGGGCGAAAGCCUGAUCCAGCCAUGCCGCGUGUGUGAAGAAGGUCUUCGGAUUGUAAAGCACUUUAAGUUGGGAGGAAGGACAGUAAGUUAAUACCUUGCUGUUUUGACGUUACCAAAAGAAUAAGCACCGGCUAACUUCGUG